rnacentral:rRNA from 1 species
GACGUAGGAUGCGAGCGUUAUUCGGAUUUAUUGGGCGUAAAGCGUGCGUAGGCGGCUGUUUAAGUCUGGUGUUAAAGCUAGGGGCUCAACCCCUGUGGUGCAUCGGAUACUGGGCAGCUUGAGUGCGGUAGGGGAAGGUGGAAUUCCGGGUGUAGCGGUGGAAUGCGUAGAGAUCCGGAAGAACACCGGAGGCGAAGGCGGGUCUCUGGGCAACAACUGACGCUGAGGAGCGAAAGCGUGGGGAGCGAACAGG